GUUGCUGAGGGCGGAAGCUUGUUGCUGAGGGCGGAUGGCGUGUACUUUACUUUUCUGUUAUCCCCAGCGCCUAAGGGGCCGGUGACCUUCGAUGAUGUGGACGUGGGCUUCGGAAACGAAGAGUGGAAUCGCCUGGACUGCACCCAGAAGGCUCUUUACACGGACUGAUGCUGAAGAAUUAAGGGAAACACCAGCGCGCUGAGAAUCUCUCUACACCCAGCGUGGACCUCUCAAAAUUUCAAGAUCAGAGUUGCACGCGCCACCAACUGAGCCAGCCAGACGCCCCCAACCCUGGAAUCCCUUUCUUACCACAGGUUGGUCAUGCAGUUGGUUUCCAUCAUUGAUAACAGCAACUGACACGUGAGCAUAGAAACUGUUCAUUGUUGAGGUGCCUGGCUGGUAGAGCAUGUGACUUGAUUUUGGGUUCAGGAGUUCAAGCCCUGUGUUGUGCAUGGAGCCUACUUAAACAAACAAACCUGUUCAUUGCUGGUGUUUUAACAACAUCCUACCUGAGGGAACACUGACAAAUAACUUGAAACCCAGUUGUGAACACCCUGAAGAAAGAGGAGCAUUGACUGGGAUGGCCUGUACAACAACCUGUAAAUUCCUAUCACUUUAAAUUGGUCUUUUCUGUGGAUACUUUAAUGCACAAAUCAGGGCAGCUACAGGGUAGAUGGGGGCUGUUAGGCCAGUGCAGGCUAUUUAUUUAUUAUUUAAAAAUUAAUUUUAGGGGCGCCUGGGUGGCACAGUCGGUUAAGCGU